UGGCUCAGGAUGAACGCUGGCGGCGUGCCUAACACAUGCAAGUCGAACGAAGCACUGGAGAAUGGAGAUUCGUCAAAGUUCUCCUUUGACUGAGUGGCGAACGGGUGAGUAAUGCGUGAGCAACCUGCCCUUCAGAGGGGGACAACAGUUGGAAACGACUGCUAAUACCGCAUGAUGUACUCGGACGGCAUCGUCUGAAUACCAAAGGAGAAAUCCGCUGAAGGAUGGGCUCACGUCUGAUUAGCUAGUUGGUAGGGUAACGGCCUACCAAGGCUGCGAUCAGUAGCCGGACUGAGAGGUUGAACGGCCACAUUGGGACUGAGAUACGGCCCAGACUCCUACGGGAGGCAGCAGUGGGGAAUAUUGGGCAAUGGGCGAAAGCCCUGACCCAGCAACGCCGCGUGAAGGAAGAAGGCCUUCGGGUUGUAACUUCUUUUAAGAGGGACGAAGGACGUGACGGUACCUCUUGAAUAAGCCACGGCUAACUACGUGCCAGCAGCAGC
rnacentral:rRNA from 1 species